CCCAGCCCACCCGUGCUUCUUCCUUGGUGUUCCCCAGGUGGUGGGACCUGGGGCAGUGAUGAGGCUCAGGUGAUGCAAAGCAAGGAGCCUCCUCUGGAGCAGGGACGUCCUCCUGGGGAAGGGCACAGCAGGCACACAAAGGCCUUCAGCUGCCAGGGGAGGGAGGAAGGUCAGGAGGAAAUAGUCAGGGAGAGCAGAGGAAGGGUCUAGGUGCUGUGGGAGCACAGCCACUUUGCUGAGAGAGACCUAAACGGGAUUGCAAACCCACAGAAAGGAUAACGUGUAGUUCCCAACAAGAGAGAUGGGCUUGUGGUUCAAAGCUGCCCUGUGGAGGAGAGCCAGAGGGAAAGCUGGUACCAGGAGCUGCAGGUAAAGGCUGGGGCAGCCUUGCUGUAGGGUCCACACCUGGUGGAGCUUGGGGUGAGAAGAACACCUGGCUGAAACACCAAGCCCCUCUGAGGUAUGAGAUCUGGCCCCUCGGGAUGGAAAGGAAGGGACCGGGGCAGCAGAAGGGAAAUGGAGGCUGUGAGCUCCCUGAGGAGAGGCAGAACAUGGACGUGGUGCUGCUCCAGACCUCCCAGGUCAAACCAUCGCCGUGAGGUGGCCGACCAGAGCCCGGGACAGGGACAGGCCUUCAGAGAGCUUCUCAACCCCUUGCCAGGUCAUGCUCCACCCCUCAUCUGUUUAAAUAAACAUUAGCAGAAGAGCGAGGUGGCCAAGGAAUGACUACAGGCAAGGUCUGAGGUGUACAUCUGGUCUCUCUCCAAGUCUGUGACUGAAAUAGAAGUCUAAAUAUAUCUGCAGUUGAGGACUGAGCUGUGCUGUCCAAGUUAAAUAAGGAUACACAGCCCGGGAACGGCGUGGAGAGCUCUGGGCUGGGUCUCCUGCUCGCUGGCAGGCCUGCGCUGAGGAAGCACCUAUUGCUGUUGGCUGUGCUGUAGGUUGCUUUUAGGAUCUGUCAGGGCGGCAUUUUCCUACUCCUCUCUUCAGCUCCGUGAGUGCUGGCCCCUCGCUGCCCUUCUGACCACCGCUCUUUAAGCAAGCUGGGGGGGAAAAAAGGAGAAGUGGUCGCUCAUCUUGUGGAUACGACUCCCAUUCUUCUCAGCAGCUUCCUGGUGGGGCAGUGUGGGGACUGUCGUUUGCCUGGGCCUAAAGCUCCUGGGCAGAGGGAAGGCAGGUGGGUAAACAGCGGUGCCACAAACGCCAGCAUGCACCCGCUGGACAGGGACUGCCCUUGUCUGGAGCAGCCACCUCCUGGACAUCCCCUCAGACCACAGACAGACAGCUCUGCUCUCCUCCUGCUUCCAAACAUAGCAGCAAGGGAGAGAAGGCGGGGGACAGAGAAGCGCAGGCCGUGGUGCAAAGAUGCACCAACAUCCCGGUGACAGCAUCCUCGCAGCCCUCUCAAAGCUUGCCCGGCAGUGGAAGCGCUCGGGAUGUUUUGCUGCUGCCCGUGUUCGUGCUGGUGCAAUGCUCUGCAUGGCUUUGAAAGAACUUGGACUGCUUUUGCGUGUAGCUGAGGCGUAACCUGUGCUUCUAGGUCACUGCUGCCUUCAAAAAUGCCCGUCUGUGCUCACGGUGAGCACACCGGGAGUUUAUUAUGGGAGGUGUUCAGACCGGGGCAUUUAAGAAAUAGUACAUAAUAACAGUCUCCGCCUCGUGUCCCAGACAAUGUGGCCGGCAUCUCUGCUACUUAAGUGU